rnacentral:rRNA from 1 species
GACGAACGCUGGCGGCGUGCUUAACACAUGCAAGUCGAACGGAAAGGCCCUGCUUUUGUGGGGUGCUCGAGUGGCGAACGGGUGAGUAACACGUGAGUAACCUGCCCUUGACUUUGGGUUACCUUCAGGAAACUGGGGCUAAUACCGGAUAGGAGCUCCUGCUGCAUGUUGGGGGUUGGAAAGUUUCGGCGGUUGGGGAUGGACUCGCGGCUUAUCAGCUUGUUGGUGGGGUAGUGGCUUACCAAGGCUUUGACGGGUAGCCGGCCUGAGAGGGUGACCGGCCACAUUGGGACUGAGAUACGGCCCAGACUCCUACGGGAGGCAGCAGUGGGGAAUAUUGCACAAUGGGCGGAAGCCUGAUGCAGCAACGCCGCGUGCGGGAUGACGGCCUUCGGGUUGUAAACCGCUUUCGCCUGUGACGAAGCGUGAGUGACGGUAAUGGGUAAAGAAGCACCGGCUAACUACGUG